GGGGAUGACCGGUUUUGACAGCGUGUAGAGGUGGUGUGUAAGCAUGCAGAGCAAUGAUGGCUACGCUCUAUAAUCAGGGACAUCAAAAUUUCAAAUGGCGAAAACAACUACGCUCUCGCUGCUUAAUCGAAGUAUAGUAGAUUAGCUUUAUCUCCGCAAUAGUUGCGGAGACGAGACAUCACCCGAUUGUCAAUCGUCCCGAGACUAAUCGACAAGGUGGUGCAGAUAAAUCGGGAAUAGGAGGAGCCAAGCCUCGGGACUCCCCCGAAAUUUUAGAGGAUAAGGACACGGUUGGUCGUCUCAUGCCUGCCGUAUCUCGAAAACCAAGUUAAGACUAAGCAUGUAGAAAGCACAUUAGUUCCACGUUUGGACGAGGGUUCGAAUCCCUCCAUCUCCACAA
rnacentral:tmRNA from 1 species